CAGAACUGAAACUCUGCUUGAGUGAUGGACCACGUGUUUUUAGGAUUUGUUUUAAAGAGCUUUUGAAACCCUCUCCUCAAUAAGAAGGUCCAAAAUACCCAGCUGAGAUUUUCCUCGCAGCAUUUUCUGAAUCAAUUCAAGUUCUGUGGAGCUGUCACCAGAGGGUCCAUUUUGAGCUUAUUCUUUGAAAGCUAUGGCAACUUUGGCAACCUCAUCUGUGCACUGUUCUGCCUCUGGAGACUGCAGAAAAGCGAUUUGGAGCUUGUCGCACAAUCCCCUCCCCUCCCCCCACCAGCCCCAAUGGGAUGUUGAGCAGAAAUUCUUCAUCUAGCCAGACUCAUUUACAAACAGCAUGUUAUUCUCUGCCUGCGGUGUUGUUUUCAUCGGAACUUUUGGGAACCUACAAGUCCGUGAAUCUGGUACUGUGGACCCCAGGAUGAGGGAUAUGACAAUAAGAUCUGGUUCCAGCGCCACUUCUGUCACCAACCUACUGAACCAUCUGUAAAAUGACCAUCAUGAUUUUUCAUACCAUCCUGCAGGAAUUUCCCUAGGAUUCAUUACACUCUGCUUGCAAGGUUGAAUAAUUCUCCAAGUGGGAAGGACCAUUCUAAAUAGAGAAGACACCUGUGCAAAGACAAAUAGGAAAAAGCCUUUCUGGAAGACAAAAAAUAUCAUUUAAAUAUUAAAGAAUGAAUUGCAAAGGCAUUAAUCAAACCCUCUGUAAAUCACUCCUGUUGGAAUGCCCUCUCAUUUAUUAUUACCUCAUUGGUAUUUAUCAUAUUUUGAUCUUGUUUAAUAGGGUUUAUACAAGCAUUUCAGAAAGGCUGCAGUGCAGAAUGUCUUUCUGCAGGAAAAAAAAAAAAAGAAAGAAAGAAAGAAAUUAAGCUGGACACAGUGUCAGGAGCCAGAACUGAGAAGAGCCCUGUGUCCAGGGACAAGAAGGUCCUGAAUUCUGUAAGUACUGGGAGGCACUAGUGAAUUUUAGGGAGGAUGCUGACACAAUCAUAUUCACAUUUUGGAAAAGAAAGGCCACUAUGAUGGUCUUAUGAGGAAAGACGAAAAACAGGUGCCAGUGGAGGCAAAAGUAAUAGCUGGGGAAGAGUAAAGAGGAGAGAAAGCAAGUAAGCAGAAUCAGGUAAGAGACAAGAGCAGUUUGAAAGGCAGAAGGAGAAUUGAAGACAAUGAGUCAAAGUCCAGGGAGAAAAACAGCUUCAAGAAAAAGAUAUAAAUUCAAUGAGAUUAAAAACUGAAAUCUACUCCUUGGUUCUAGAUCUUAGCAAGAUCAUUGGUGAUCUUAACAAGAUCACUGAGAGGGAGUGGUUGACAGAUGAACUCCCACAUAUGAUUCAGGGUAGAGAGGAAAGAAAGGCAGGAGAGCUCCUGGAGAACAAAUGGAAGGAUUCAGAAUAGAGGAGACAGAGAUCUUAUGUAAUCUCAUGGGCUCCGCAGGAAGGAAAGUGAGAGCAGAUACAGAGAGGUGGCUGAUGUUCAGGAUCUCAGCAAUGGAGUCAUAACAAGAUCUCCGUGUGGCCACCAGAGCUGCCCAAAUGGGACAGAGAAGGGGGAAGCAGCUCAGUAAGAUAUGAGCCUUUCAGGCAAGGACAAGAGAUGCACAUUACACAAACAUGCUUCCUUGAGUAGACAGAGAUUAGAAGUCAGGUGCCAAACUAUUCUUUAGGAAAAUGGACUCAGUCAAGUUCAUUCUCUAUUGGAGUAUAAUCUGUCGCUGAUUAGUUCCAUAUAUGGUAAUCUCCCACUGUAAUAUUAAUUUUCUUUUUCCCUUAGAGUGGAAUUAGAGAUGAUCCUUUCCCGUUUUUGUGAUGAGAGCACUCUGGUUUGCUUUCCCCUCUUUCCCAGCCUCUCUCUGGUUUUUCCAUCAUUUGCUGCCUUCCAAGCUGGUGGGUGGUUCAUUAGCAAUUUCCUUCUGUUCUUGCCAAUUCUCCUUCACCUGCCUGAGGAGCCGCUUCCAACAGUGUUAGGAGCCAGGGAGAUUUCCUCUCAUAUAUGAGUGGACAAUUCCAAGCCCAGACCCUGUUUUCCUUUCCCCAGCGUCCUUCACCUCCCAGAGUUUUGAGGUUUCUAAAUCUCUCACAUGAGAAGCUGUCUGUUUGCCAAUCCAUUCCGCUCCUGCCAAAGCUGCCUGACAAGUUCAACAUGAACGGUUUGAAAUUGAUUUGUCCCCUAUAUAAACAUGUUAAACUUUUAACUCACAGAGAAACAAUACCAUUUUCCAUUUUUUUUAAAAAAAAUUUGGUAGUAUCCUAUAUAUUGAGCUUCAGGAUUUUCCUGUGGAUAAAUGCUGAGCAAGUCCACUUUUAACUCUACUGUCUGUCACAGUCCUGCCUGCAGCAGGACACACAGAGCUGUAUCCACUUAAAAGUUCUGGGGACUUCAGGAUCUGGAAAACAGAAUCUGGUUUUCUUUUGUGUAGCUAAUGCAGGGUCUCUGGGAGUCUCUCUAAGCUUCCUGGGGCUCUCUCUGAAGUGAGUCAGCAUUUUGGUGUUUGCUUAACUCCUGAGGUUAUUGAAGCGCCAAGGGGGGGCAUAGUUUAUCCAAAGGCACACUACAGGAUGGUGGCAGGCUAAAAUCAGACCCAGAGCUUGUUUUCACUAGGCAGGACUCCUUGAACUUUGCCAUGUCCACUGGAAGUAUGCAUGAUGGUACAAGCUCUGCACUUCUAUCUUUAAAUAGUCCACUGGCAACCGUGAUUGGAAGUCCCUCUGUGAAAUUGGUUCAGGCCCUUGUGUGAAGAAGUUCAGACUGCUGUUUGAAGGGAUUCUGACGGUUUCUGCCAAAUAUAAUACUUAGAUCUAGGAGUGAGAAAAAUGAUACAAGAUGGCAGGAAUAUGAAGUGGAGACUGAAAUAGAUCUGUUCUCUUCCUUUGCUUUUCAACUGGCAGUCGUACCCCAUUCUCUCUCUCUUUUUUAUAACCUCUGGAAAUUUCUGCUAAGUCCAAAAUCAUCUUUCCCUUGAAACAAUUAGAUUGGACGUGCAAGAUUCAAGUUCAUCCACAUGCACUGUUAUGAUUUGUCUGCAGAAACUCCUCGUGUUCCAGUGUGCCAGGAUACACAACCAGGGAAGAAAGGGGAGGGGAGGUGGUUGGAUUAAUAGCAUUCUAAAUUUAUAAUGCAUUUUCUUAGUCUCUUUUCCUUGGAUGUAAUUUUGAAAAGACAGGAAUCCAAUAUGGUGGUUUUUUUUUGUUGCAUACAGCUUGUCACUUCACUAUAUGUAAAAAUUUGUAACCCUUUAUCAUAAAAACACUGAUAGCUAUUGUAAACAGUAAACACACUGUGAAGGGCCUUAGUUACCAAUUUAGGAUCUUACAAUUGAAAGAUACCUUAAAAAUAAUA